GUUGUGAGGUUAAGCGACUAAGCGUACACGGUGGAUGCCCUGGCAGUCAGAGGCGAUGAAGGACGUGCUAAUCUGCGAUAAGCGCCGGUAAGGUGAUAUGAACCGUUAUAACCGGCGAUUUCCGAAUGGGGAAACCCAGUGUGACUCGUCACACUAUCAUUAACUGAAUCCAUAGGUUAAUGAGGCGAACCGGGGGAACUGAAACAUCUAAGUACCCGAGGAAAAGAAAUCAACCGAGAUUCCCCCAGUAGCGGCGAGCGAACGGGGAGGAGCCCAGAGCCUGAAUCAGCAUGUGUGUUAGUGGAAGCGUCUGGAAAGGCGCGCGAUACAGGGUGACAGCCCCGUACACAAAAGCGCAUGUGCUGUGAGCUCGAUGAGUAGGGCGGGACACGUGGUAUCCUGUCUGAAUAUGGGGGACCAUCCUCCAAGGCUAAAUACUCCUGACUGACCGAUAGUGAACCAGUACCGUGAGGGAAAGGCGAAAAGAACCCCGGCGAGGGGAGUGAAAAAGAACCUGAAACCGUGUACGUACAAGCAGUGGGAGCACAGGUUUACCUGUGUGACUGCGUACCUUUUGUAUAAUGGGUCAGCGACUUAUAUUCUGUAGCAAGGUUAACCGAAUAGGGGAGCCGGAGGGAAACCGAGUCUUAAUUGGGCGUUAAGUUGCAGGGUAUAGACCCGAAACCCGGUGAUCUAGCCAUGGGCAGGUUGAAGGUUGGGUAACACUAACUGGAGGACCGAACCGACUAAUGUUGAAAAAUUAGCGGAUGACCUGUGGCUGGGGGUGAAAGGCCAAUCAAACCGGGAGAUAGCUGGUUCUCCCCGAAAGCUAUUUAGGUAGCGCCUCGUGAACUCAUCUCCGGGGGUAGAGCACUGUUUCGGCUAGGGGGCCAUCCCGGCUUACCAACCCGAUGCAAACUGCGAAUACCGGAGAAUGUUAUUACGGGAGACACACGGCGGGUGCUAACGUCCGUCGUGAAGAGGGAAACAACCCAGACCGCCAGCUAAGGUCCCAAAGUCAUGGUUAAGUGGGAAACGAUGUGGGAAGGCCCAGACAGCCAGGAUGUUGGCUUAGAAGCAGCCAUCAUUUAAAGAAAGCGUAAUAGCUCACUGGUCGAGUCGGCCUGCGCGGAAGAUGUAACGGGGCUAAACCAUGCACCGAAGCUGCGGCAGCGACGCUUAUGCGUUGUUGGGUAGGGGAGCGUUCUGUAAGCCUGUGAAGGUGGCCUGUGAGGGUUGCUGGAGGUAUCAGAAGUGCGAAUGCUGACAUAAGUAACGAUAAAGCGGGUGAAAAGCCCGCUCGCCGGAAGACCAAGGGUUCCUGUCCAACGUUAAUCGGGGCAGGGUGAGUCGACCCCUAAGGCGAGGCCGAAAGGCGUAGUCGAUGGGAAACGGGUUAAUAUUCCCGUACUUGGUGUUACUGCGAAGGGGGACGGAGAAGGCUAUGUUGGCCGGGCGACGGUUGUCCCGGUUUAAGCGUGUAGGUGUGUGUUCCAGGUAAAUCCGGUUCACUUUAACACUGAGGCGUGACGACGAGGCACUACGGUGCUGAAGCAACAAAUGCCCUGCUUCCAGGAAAAGCCUCUAAGCAUCAGGUAACAUCAAAUCGUACCCCAAACCGACACAGGUGGUCAGGUAGAGAAUACCAAGGCGCUUGAGAGAACUCGGGUGAAGGAACUAGGCAAAAUGGUGCCGUAACUUCGGGAGAAGGCACGCUGACACGUAGGUGAAGUGAUUUACUCACGGAGCUGAAGUCAGUCGAAGAUACCAGCUGGCUGCAACUGUUUAUUAAAAACACAGCACUGUGCAAACACGAAAGUGGACGUAUACGGUGUGACGCCUGCCCGGUGCCGGAAGGUUAAUUGAUGGGGUCAGCGCAAGCGAAGCUCCUGAUCGAAGCCCCGGUAAACGGCGGCCGUAACUAUAACGGUCCUAAGGUAGCGAAAUUCCUUGUCGGGUAAGUUCCGACCUGCACGAAUGGCGUAAUGAUGGCCAGGCUGUCUCCACCCGAGACUCAGUGAAAUUGAACUCGCUGUGAAGAUGCAGUGUACCCGCGGCAAGACGGAAAGACCCCGUGAACCUUUACUAUAGCUUGACACUGAACAUUGAGCCUUGAUGUGUAGGAUAGGUGGGAGGCUUUGAAGUGUGGACGCCAGUCUGCAUGGAGCCGACCUUGAAAUACCACCCUUUAAUGUUUGAUGUUCUAACGUGGACCCGUAAUCCGGGUUGCGGACAGUGUCUGGUGGGUAGUUUGACUGGGGCGGUCUCCUCCUAAAGAGUAACGGAGGAGCACGAAGGUUGGCUAAUCCUGGUCGGACAUCAGGAGGUUAGUGCAAUGGCAUAAGCCAGCUUGACUGCGAGCGUGACGGCGCGAGCAGGUGCGAAAGCAGGUCAUAGUGAUCCGGUGGUUCUGAAUGGAAGGGCCAUCGCUCAACGGAUAAAAGGUACUCCGGGGAUAACAGGCUGAUACCGCCCAAGAGUUCAUAUCGACGGCGGUGUUUGGCACCUCGAUGUCGGCUCAUCACAUCCUGGGGCUGAAGUAGGUCCCAAGGGUAUGGCUGUUCGCCAUUUAAAGUGGUACGCGAGCUGGGUUUAGAACGUCGUGAGACAGUUCGGUCCCUAUCUGCCGUGGGCGCUGGAGAACUGAGGGGGGCUGCUCCUAGUACGAGAGGACCGGAGUGGACGCAUCACUGGUGUUCGGGUUGUCAUGCCAAUGGCACUGCCCGGUAGCUAAAUGCGGAAGAGAUAAGUGCUGAAAGCAUCUAAGCACGAAACUUGCCCCGAGAUGAGUUCUCCCUGAGACUUAGAGUCUCCUGAAGGAACGUUGAAGACGACGACGUUGAUAGGCCGGGUGUGUAAGCGCAGCGAUGCGUUGAGCUAACCGGUACUAAUGAACCGUGAGGCUUAACCUUACAACGCCGAAG
rnacentral:rRNA from 1 species